rnacentral:misc_RNA from 1 species
ACACUUCAACUCUCAUAGCUUGCUGUGAUGAGCUUGGACUUUGGGGGUCUUGCUGGCCUGUGGUCAGCUCCUCUCAAAUGAAUUAGCUUUCCAGUGUUUGGUGGCAUCACGGGUGUGAUAACUAUCUACGCUUGAGGUUUUCCACCAGGCAACCUUCAGUAAUGAGGGUUCACUGGGGCUCACAAAUGUCUUUCUUUGGUGAGGACAGCUCUUUGAAU